GGAAGAAGGAAGAAAAAGCUUUUUUUGGGGAGCUCCACUCUGCUUAUUUUAUUCUCACCACAACCUUACAGGAAAACUCAUCUGAUUCCCAUUUUAUAGAUGAAGCAACAGGGACUCAAUCAUUUGGCAAUGUGCUGAGGUCUCACAGCUGCAAGUGGACCCCGUGGCUGCCUGUCCCAGUGCCCACAAGCCUGUUUCCAAGGCGUGCAGCAACCUUGUGCAAUCAGGAGGGUGCCUCUGCAGCAGUAAGAUUUUGGGCGAAGACACUCCCUCGGAAGACUCAAACAGGCAGUUGGGAAUGAGUUUCCAUAACAUAAAUCACUGUUGCUUGUCCUAAAGCCCAGACCUUCUGGGGAGCAGACACAGACCGCCUAAGCAGAGGGCUGCGGAGAGACCAGUGAUGGUUAUAGGAGGUGCUGUUGUUGUCUAGAAGGGAGUCUGCGAGUGGCGAGUGGAUACUGAGGUCCUGUCCCCCUAACAGAGUCCAUACUGUGGCCAGGUCCAGACAAAACACUGUUUCUGGCGCCCGCUCCUGCGUUAGGGGCCGAAAUGCUGAAGGGCUCUCCUAUUCGGGGGAAUUCGGUAGUGAUGUAUAAGGUAUGAAAGAUGUAGCCUGCAGAGAGCCGGCACUAUCUCUACUGCUGCUGCUGCUGCUGCUGCUGCCACCGCUGCUGCCGCCGCCGCCGCCGCCGCCGCCGCCACUACUGCUGCCAGCAGAGCUGCUGGGAGUGAGCCUCCCUUCUCCCAGAUACCCAGCUCCGUGGCAUCUCCCGUUCCUUGGCCCCGCACGGACCUCCCCGCCCCAGGGAACAAAAGCAGAGUCGGGUCGCCCUGUUCUGCAGUCAGAGGAUGAAGAGUCGAGAGGGCUGAGCGGAGAGUGUGGUCCUCGGCGGCUGGAAGACCCUGGCUUAUCAGAGGACAACAUGCUUUUGAAAUGCCACAUUAUUUUAUCAAGUUCCUUCCUCUGCAAAAGCCAUGACCUGCUUUAAGCACACCCCUCCAAGUCAAGACAACUUGUUGAACAUUGUCCCUGGCAUGGAGCCCAAGCUACUGCUCCCUGCCCUUUCUCCAUGAUUCCUGACUUGUGGCCCUGGCAAUCUCAGAAGAGCUUCAUUGAAUUCCCUUCCAUCCAGAUCCUGGGGACUCGCUUC